GUUUUGUUUUGUGUAUAUAAAAGCGUCUCCACACCAUCCAACGAACUUUGCAGAUGACAUGAUGUUCGUGAAUAAAAACGGUGACAUAAGCACGGAGUAUACAUGUUGCAGACAGCAAAAAUAAUGCUCAAAAACAUUAUGUAACUUGCAAUAAAUAAGAUUAGAAAAGCCCACUGAUGAUGGUGAUAUUUGUCGCCGAAACUAGUAUGGGA